rnacentral:tRNA from 1 species
ACCGCGAAAGCUCAGCUGGUAGAGCAUCUGCCCUGUAAGUGGGGGGUCGCCGGUUCGAUUCCGGCUCGCGGCG